UACGGAGUAUGCGAGCGUUAUCCGGAUUUAUUGGGUUUAAAGGGUGCGUAGGCGGGCUGUUAAGUCAGCGGUCAAAUGUCGGGGCUCAACCCCGGCCUGCCGUUGAAACUGGUGGCCUCGAGUGGGCGAGAAGUAUGCGGAAUGCGUGGUGUAGCGGUGAAAUGCAUAGAUAUCACGCAGAACUCCGAUUGCGAAGGCAGCAUACCGGCGCCCGACUGACGCUGAGGCACGAAAGCGUGGGUAUCGAACAGG
rnacentral:rRNA from 1 species